AGCAGUGAGGAAUAUUGGACAAUGGGCGGGAGCCUGAUCCAGCCAUGCCGCGUGCAGGAAGACUGCCCUAUGGGUUGUAAACUGCUUUUAUACAGGAAGAAUAAGCCUUACGUGUAAGGUGAUGACGGUACUGUAAGAAUAAGGACCGGCUAACUCCGUGCCAGCAGCCGCGGUAAUACGGAGGGUCCGAGCGUUAUCCGGAAUUAUUGGGUUUAAAGGGUCCGUAGGCGGAUGAUUAAGUCAGGGGUGAAAGUUUGCAGCUCAACUGUAAAAUUGCCUUUGAUACUGGUUAUCUUGAGUUGUAUUGAAGUAGGCGGAAUAUGUAGUGUAGCGGUGAAAUGCAUAGAUAUUACAUAGAACACCAAUUGCGAAGGCAGCUUACUAAGUACUAACUGACGCUGAUGGACGAAAGCGUGGGUAGCGAACAGGAUUAGAUACCCUGGUAGUCCACGCCGUAAACGAUGGAUACUAGCUGUUCGGGACCUUGAGUUCUGAGCGGCUAAGCGAAAGUGAUAAGUAUCCCACCUGGGGAGUACGUUCGCAAGAAUGAAACUCAAA
rnacentral:rRNA from 1 species